GGUCCCAUGGUGUAAUGGUCAGCACUCAGACCUCUGAAUCCUGCGAUCUGAGUUCAAAUCUCAGUGGGACCU
rnacentral:tRNA from 1 species